AACAAGAACAAGAACAUCAGCCUCCAGAAUCUCCCUUAACCUUGCUCUUUCUUCAAGUUGGAGCUAUCUUGUUGAAAUUUUUCUGUCAGGACAGAAUUUCUCAGUUACCCAAUCCAAGAGUCUCUCUACAUUGGUCCACCGUGUCUCUCUGUUAUUGAAAUGCUCUCCUCUGCUUCCCUCAGCUUCUCAUACAUCUCCUUCUCUUUCUGAGCCUUGGAUCCUCCUCCACUGACUCCUCAUUGCCUUUAUCUAUUUUUAUAAGGUUUUUAUUGAGGUAUAACAUGCCAUAUUAGUCUGUUUUGUUUUGCUGCACAGGAAUACCUGAGAGUGGGCAAUUUAUAAAGGAAAUAUGUAUAUUUGGCUCAUGGUUCUGCAGGCUGUACAAAAAGCAGGGCACCAGCAUCUGCAUCUGGUAAAGCCUCAGGAAGCUUCCACUUACGGCAGAAGGCAAAGGGAGAGCAGGCACGUCACGAGAAAUAGAAAAUGUCCAAGAUAUCUGACUAGACCUAGCCUGUGCAGUUCUAUGGAAUCCCUCUGAAUCAGCUGCUACUCUGAAGAAGACCACCACACACAAGAUGGACCCAGCCCACCCUUGGCCUAGGCCCUGGUGCACCUAACUUCAGUGUAGACCCACCCCUUCAUCAACUGCUCUGGAGUGAUUCUUCAAUCAUGUCCCAUGGUCCCUGAGGCAGAUGCCACACAGGUUGCAGCGGAAGAUCUUCAGAUGACUUGGUGACAGGUUCAUGACCAUCUAGUUUCAAGGAUCUCACCAUCAGAUUAGCCACCCUUUGACUGCUGAGACAUUUAAGAGUUUCAACACACACACACACACACACACACACAUACACACACACUUGCACACAGGACAACUAUUUGGAGGCAAAUAAAGCAGGCAGAUUCUGGAGAAGAGUCAACACUUACAAAAAGAGAAUGGCAGAUGACCCAGAUGUUGGAAUUAGCAGGUAAGGAUUUUAACUAUGUUCAGUCAUGUAAAGGGAAAGAUGCUCCUAAUGAAUAAAAAGUUGUAAAAUUUCAUCAGAAAAAUACAAACUAUAAAAAGCA